GAAAGAUAAUGACCAAUAUUAGCAUGAAUAUAACUCUAAGACAACGUAUACUCAAGCGUUAUGUAUGGUCCACAUUAACGUAUGGCUCUGAGACAUGGACGAUAAAGAAGAACAUGAUCAAAAGGUUAGAAGCAGUAGAAAUGUGGUUCAUGCAAAGAAUGCUGAGAAUCCCUUGGAGUGCACGGAUCACUAAUGAAGGAUUGAGAAGAGUAGUAAUGGAAAAAACACCGGUGAAGAGUAUCAGGAGGAGACACCUCAAUUUUGUGGGCCAUGUACUGAGAGGACAUGGACUGUGGGAGAGAAUGCUUGUUGGGGAGAGUAUAAGGAACCAGCGAGAGGAAGACAGAGGGUCAAGUUUAUGGACACAUUGGUGAAACACGUCAGUGAGGGCUGGACAACUGUGGAUCGGGUUAGAGUGGCUCAAAACAGAGGAGGAUGGUGUUCCAUGGUCGCCGACGUCACGUGACAGGCACCUCGGUAAAGGAAAGUCAAGCCAAUAGUCCCUGAAUGUUGCCAAGGAGACACACUGCACCACCAAGCCAAGCCAAGCAAGCCACAAUG